rnacentral:rRNA from 1 species
GACGAACGCUGGCGGCGUGCUUAACACAUGCAAGUCGAACGAAGUGGCGCACGGGUGAGUAACGCGUAAUCAACCUGCCCUUCAGUGGGGGACAACAGUUGGAAACGACUGCUAAUACCGCAUACUGACGGUGGGGAUUGCGUCGGAUUAGCGGGUUGGCGGGGUAACGGCCCACCAAGGCGAUGAUCAGUAGCCGGGCUGAGCGGAUGGACGGCCACAUUGGGACGGAGACACGGCCCGAACCGCUACGGGAGGCAGCAGUGGGGAAUCUUCCGCAAUGGACGAAAGUCUGACGGAGCAACGCGGCGUGAGUGAUGACGGCCUUCGGGUUGUAAAGCUCUGUUAAUCGGGACGCGGUACCGGAAUAGAAAGCCACGGCUAACUACGUGCCAGCAGCCGCGGUAAUAC